CUAACAAGGAUUCCCCUAGUAACGGCGAGUGAAGCGGGAAGAGCUCAAGCUUAAAAUCUCCGUGCAAGUUUUGCGCGGCGAAUUGUAGUCUAUAGAGGCGUGGUCAGCGUGGGCGCUUGGGGCAAGUUCCUUGGAAGAGGACAGCAUGGAGGGUGAUACUCCCGUUCAUCCCUGAGUGGCUCGUGCGUACGACCCGUGUUCUUUGAGUCGCGUUGUUUGGGAAUGCAGCGCAAAGUAGGUGGUAAAUUCCAUCUAAAGCUAAAUAUUGGUGCGAGACCGAUAGCGAACAAGUACCGUGAGGGAAAGAUGAAAAGAACUUUGAAAAGAGAGUUAAAGAGUACCUGAAACUGCUGAAAGGGAACCGAAUCGUUUCCAGUGUCUAUAAUCCGUGGCAUAUUUCAUUGGCGAGUGUGUGCGUGCGUGUGCUGUGGCAGUGGCUUUUUUGGCUGCGCUCGGUGUGUGUGCUGUGUGUGCUUGCUGGUGCCCUGUGCUGCGGUGGGACGUCAAGGUCAGUUCGUAUGCUGCGGGAAAUGGCUGCCGAGGAGGUAGGGCUUACGCUCCGCGUUUGUCUGUUAUAUCUUGGUGGACGAGUCGUCGCGGUUGGGACUGAGGUGCCUACAACGUGCUUUUGAGUGGGUUUGUGUCUCCGUGUGCGCCGUGUGCGGAUAGCUUGCUAUGCGUGUGUGGUUGUGUGUGGAUUGAUGCGGGCUUUAACUUGUCGCCGUUCGGGACGUUGACGAAAUGGAGCGAUCCGACCCGUCUUGAAACACGGACCAAGGAGUCUAACAUGUGUGCAAGUGUUAGGGUGUGGAAACCCCAGCGCGAAAUGAAAGUGAAGGGCAGCGCAAGUUGUCUGAGGUAGGAAACGUUGCGGGCUUCGGUCUGCGGCGUGGCACUAUCGACCGAUCAUGAACCUUCGUGGUGAAAGAUUUGAGUUUGAGCACAUAUGUUGGUACCCGAAAGAUGGUGAACUAUGCCUGAGUAGGGUGAAGCCAGGGGAAACUCUGGUGGAAGCUCGUAGCGAUUCUGACGUGCAAAUCGAUCGUCAAACUUGGGUAUAGGGGCGAAAGACUAAUCGAACCAUCUAGUAGCUGGUUCCCUCCGAAAUUUCCCUCAGGAUAGCAGCAACUUAUUUACGAUAGUUUUAUGAGGUAAAGCGAAUGAUUAGAGGAUUCGGGGAAGAAACUUCCUCGACCUAUUCUCAAACUUUAAAUCUGUAAGACCUGCAGGUUUCUUAAUUGAACUUGUGGAUGUGAAUAUCAA
rnacentral:rRNA from 1 species